CGCCGAUGGCCCCAGGCCCCCGGAAUCCUCUGGGCGGCCCUGACACUACUGGAUACGAUGCACUAAGGCUCUGGGGCUGCAUUUCACCAAAGAGAGGCAAACAACCCAGCCUUGCUGCAAUAAUGUGAAAUGGAGUAACUUUCAGACAGUUUAGGAUGUAUGCCCAUUUGCUCCACCUUUCAGCAGUCUACAAGACCACAGCUGACUAAGCCUGCCAGCUGUGACAAUAUCUAAAAAGACUCCAGUAAAGGAGCGAGGAAAGCUAAGGAGGAGGCAGACUCAUGGUCCCAUCACCCCUCUGAACCUGCCUAAGCAGCAAGGCUCACCAAGGGGAACAAGCUUUCCCAUCCUAACAGAUUAAGAAGAUAAUUUAUCCCCUCUGCACAAGGGUAGCCCGAAGGAGAUUGUGCUUCUCUGAGCUACAGCCUCUCUGGUGAUCCUUCUGGGGCAGCACAGAUCUGCAGUGUCCUUCAGUCAAGGCUGUAUCUUAAACAAGCAUAAAACCCCCCCAAAAUGUUAUCUUGCCCACUGUGUCAAAAUGGCAAAGCUGAGCUCAGAUAAAUACAUUUAAAAUCAAGUAGAAGAAAAUAAUUGAAAAUUGUGAGCUGCAGCAUUUAUAUGUUUAACUUUUUAGUUCCUAUUAAUGUGAUGAAACAGCCAUACAGUGGGUUUUGGAGAUUUUUGAAGUGUUAGACAGUUUGACCACUGUUUUAGAUAUUCAAUGGAUCCAGCUGUAGCUCUAGCUGAAGUCCACGACUGCAUCCAUUGCCUAAUAAACUCCUCUUCCCCCAAUCAACUUGUAAAGCUCAGCAUAGACUAAAGAUGGUGCCCUCAGGCAAACAGUUAAGAAGUUAACGAAAUUUAAAUUCUCUAGGGGCCUGUUGAAUGUAUUCUUUUUUUCCCAAACAGUUCUUUGAGUUUAUAUCAAGUCUAAUUGAUUUUUUUUUUUAAAAAGCAUGGGAUACUCCCGCCUCUCAGUUCAACAUUUGGUCCUUCUUCUUUGUAGCUAACAGCAGGAGAUCAAUUUAUAAAUUGUUUAAAAUGUUCACAGUUAAUGAGAUGAACUCAUGCAAAUUUUAAUAUUCAGAGUUUACUUUGAUUAAAAUACAAAAACUUUUCACGUUAACUCAAGGAUUUUUUUUUCAAUUCAGACAAGUUCAGAGCUGGAGUGCCACGUAAUUUAGUGUUUAAUCAGUAGAACUACUGUGGCAUUGGCUGAUUAGCCUGGCUCAACUGCUGCCUGCUCAAUUUUUCCCCAUAAUUGCAGGAUAUACUUUAUUGUGACAGGGCUUGAACAGUGGAAUUCCAAUAUGCUAUACAUCAGGUUCCCUAUUAUUGGAUUAGCUAGAUGUGGCAUCAUUACCGCUGCACUUUCAUGCCUAUCAUUGAUCGCAUCGUUCUUUCUAUUUCACAAUUAAUGCAAGUCAGCUGGAUUGAUCAAUCUUCUGAUGAGUGUGGGCCACAGUCAAUAUAUUCUUAUGGCUGUGUGUUACUGAUCCGUAUGUUUUAUAGCGGUGCCUAAGGAUUUGUCAUUCUGGCUACAGAGUCUCAUUUUUAGAUACUACUGCUCUUAGCUAGCUUCUUAAUCAUUCAGUGUUUAUGAAUUACAAAUGUAACAAUAAAAAAGAAAAUAAGAAAGAAACGUUUUCAAAUCACACAGUUGGUCAUC